UUUGGGAAAUUUACAGUAAUAACCAAAAAAAUUUCCCUUUUUUUCAUCUUAACCCCCCAAAAAUAUUUCUAUCAACAUUAGCCAUAAAACAACAUUUGAGACCAAAAUACCCCUCCCUCAUCUCUCCCCCAACACUCCCUUUCACUCAUCUCUCCCAAACCGAUCCAACUCCCAUCAUCGGCGGCGACAUCAACCCUCGUCGGCGGCGGCUCCAUCUCUCACCGGCAUCCGAUCUACGAUCUACAACCUUCAACAAAACCUAGGUUAGUC
rnacentral:lncRNA from 1 species